rnacentral:rRNA from 1 species
CCUACGGGAGGCAGCAGUGGGGAAUAUUGCACAAUGGGCGCAAGCCUGAUGCAGCCAUGCCGCGUGUAUGAAGAAGGCCUUCGGGUUGUAAAGUACUUUCAGCGGGAGGAAGGGAGUAAAGUUAAUACCUUUGCUCAUUGACGUUACCCGCAGAAGAAGCACCGGCUAACUCCGUGCCAGCAGCCGCGGUAAUACGGAGGGUGCAAGCGUUAAUCGGAAUUACUGGGCGUAAAGCGCACGCAGGCGGUUUGUUAAGUCAGAUGUGAAAUCCCCGGGCUCAACCUGGGAACUGCAUCUGAUACUGGCAAGCUUGAGUCUCGUAGAGGGGGGUAGAAUUCCAGGUGUAGCGGUGAAAUGCGUAGAGAUCUGGAGGAAUACCGGUGGCGAAGGCGGCCCCCUGGACGAAGACUGACGCUCAGGUGCGAAAGCGUGGGGAGCAAACAGGAUUAGGAUACCCUGGUAGUCCACGCCGUAAACGAUGUCGACUUGGAGGUUGUGCCCUUGAGGCGUGGCUUCCGGAGCUAACGCGUUAAGUCGACCGCCUGGGGAUACGGCCGCAAGGUUUAAAACCNAAAUGAAUUGACGGNNGAGAGNGCGAGACGACGACGAGGAGGAGG